rnacentral:rRNA from 1 species
GAUAAACGCUGGCGGCGUGCCUAAAACAUGCAAGUCGAACGGGUGACUUCGGUCACCAGUGGCGAACGGCUGAGUAACGCGUGGGUGACCUCGCUCCGAGUGGGGGAUAACUGCCCGAAACGGGUGGCUAAUACCGCAUGUGCUCGUGGGAUCGUUCCUACGCGCAAAGUCGCAAGACGCUUGGAGAUGGGCCCGCGUCCGAUUAGCUUGUUGGUGGGGUGACGGCCUACCAAGGCGACGAUCGGUAGCUGGUCUCAGAGGAUGAUCAGCCAGACUGGGACUGCGACACGGCCCAGACUCCUACGGGAGGCAGCAGUUAGGAAUUUUGGGCAAUGGGCGAAAGACCUCG